UGUUUCUUGGUGCUUGGUGUUCAGUAAACUGUAGGAAAGCUCACCUCCGCUGGCUUCCUGUGAUGUCACAAUGAAGGACUACUUGCUACCAAGGUAGGCUUCCAGUGGUGACGAUGGGGUGGGCACAUCAUUGGAGAAUUACCAAGCAAAAUAAGUUUGUUUUCAACAAAGUUUGAGUUCGAAUGAAUUGACUGUAUACUGACCUGAUUUUGCCCUAUGCUAUCUGUCUUUCUCCCAGGAUUCAGAGAUGAAGCCAGACUUUGGAAGUUCAAGGAAGAUGCAACUUGUCGCAAGUCUGAGGGUGGACAGGCUAUGUGACAGGGAAUGUGGAUGUAUUUAGGAACUGGGGGCAGCUUUAUAUUAACUGCCAGCAAGGGUUCUCCAAAUGAGAAGCAAGCGGUCAGUUCUUCCAACAGCAAGAACAGAGUUUGAAAUCGGACCCACCUCUUCCCCAGAACCUUGUUGAAAACAGCCCAGCAUGUUGACAAUUUCACAGGGACCUCAGCCAUUGGAUAACUGACUUCUGACUUACAACAUGUCAGGAAUGCAAACAAGAUAAGUAAAGUUCCAGAAAGCAUCUCUGAGAUUGUGAAGCAGCCACACUAAGGGUAGUGGAGAAGAAACACAGAAAGAGAAUUCUGUUCUGCUUACUUGUGGGGUUACUCUCCCAGCCCUGCCCUGACCUGCUGACCUCGACACUGAAUUUAUGAGCAACGGCUUUGAUCCCCUUUGAGCCACUUCAGUUCUCUUGGCAUCUCCAGUCUCUGUCAGAUUUACAAUGAGUACUCUGUCACCGUCUUCAGACACACCAGAAGAAGGCAUCAGAUCCCAUUACAGCCAGUUGCAAGCCACCAUGUGGUUGCUGGGAAUUAAACUCAGGACCUCUGGAAGAACAGUCAGUGCUCUUAACUGCUGAGCCAUCUCCCAGCCCCCACCUGAAAAUUCUUAAGUAAAAUCAUCUUGGUUUGGAUGAGAAACACAGGCUUGGUUAUUUAGAUGCUUAAUUCCUAGUUAGCGGUACUGCUUGGGAAGGUUUAGGAGGUAAAGCCUCACUGGUGAAAAUACAUCAAUGGAGGCAGGUUUUGAGAGUUCAUGACCUUCACCUGCUUUCAGUUUGCUCCCUCUGCUUCUUAUUGAGGUUAAAUAUGUUGGGUCUCAGCUUCCUGUUCCUGUCACAUGCCUGCUGCUUGCUUCCACGUUUCCCCACCAAGACACACUUUUAUUCCUCUAGAACCAUGUCUCCCUAUGUACUCCUUCUACAGGUUGCCUCAGGCAUGUUUCCAGCAACAAGAAGUAACUAAUAAAAUCCUCUACUAUAGACACUUAGCCUUCCACACUAAGAAUCCCAUGUCCUGACAUUCAAUCAACAACUAAUCUUAUUUUUCAUCUGUGUAGAAUAUGUACAGACUUUCUGCAUAGGAUAUGUACAGACUUUCUUCUUGACGAUAUUCCUUAAACAAUGCAACAAGCAUGUGUUUACAAAGUAUCUACGUUGUGUCAGGUAUUAUUAUUAUAAGCAAUUUAGAGAAGCUUCAAGGGUAGUAGAAGGUGUUUAUAGGUCUUACACACCAUUUUGUAAGGGACUUGAGCAUCAGCGGAUUUCGUCAUCUGCAGGAAGUUCCAGAGAAAGUUCUUUGCAGACAUCAGGAGGCAACUGUGUGCAUCCUAGGUGAACAUUGCCUGUGUCGAGUGUAACAAAUAUAUUUGUUACAAAGAGAAAUUUGUAUAUUUGUUGCAAAACAUCCAUUGCCCCGAGAACCAACUGUAGCUGUAGGAUAUGAGUCUAAGUGGUAAACAGGAAGGACUGAUAAGAGUAAAUAACUGAGCAUCCACUUGGUGUCAAGCCUUGCUUUGGACAACAGCCAAAGGUUAGAGAAGAACAAAGGAGAAAGAAGGAAAUAAAAGCACGUCAGACCUGGAGGCGGGUUCCAUCUCCAAAACACUGAUCAAAUGGCCAAGAGUUACAUGUAGACAAGUUAGUAUAAGGUAAAGCAGAAGACAAGAAUAACCACUGAGUAUGUGUUGAGCACAAGGAACAUGGUAAACUACUUGUGGGUAAUGGUCCUCCAGAGGGUCUUGGAGGACAGCUAGGCACAGAGGUGGGCAAUGGAAUUUUAGGGAGGAUUCUGAGGAAAAGUUGCUGGAAUGCAAACCUGAAACCACGCACCAGAGAGGUUUUGCUUGUCUGUUAGGCAGAAGGCAGCUGGAAACAAUUCCCGGCAGAUGGUCCUUGGGAAGCACUGAGUCACAAAGGCUGAGGAUAGAGAUCCCACAAGUUCAUAGGAACAGAGGUGCUGAGCUACCUACAUGCGCGUAGCAUUGAGGAGUUAUUGUCACGGCAGGGCUGAAGGAGAGGGAGGAAGUCAUGCUGUAGUCCUGGGCACAAGUGGAGGAGCCAUGCUGAAAGGAGCCCAAGCUAUAUUGGUAGGAGCCCAGGCCAGGACAAGUAUGUGACCAGUGUCAGAGAGGAGGCUCUAGUGAAGCGACGAGGUGAGAAAAGUACCUUGACCUCUCCCACUUUUUCUUCAAAGUUCUUAGGUCACGCUUACCAUUGCUCAAACUCAAGGACAGCCAUGGUUAAGGAAUCCUGCGUGACUGAGACCACCAGCCUGAGCCUCUGAGCCAUCAGUUCCCAACCUGUGGCUCACGACCCCUUUAGCAAACCUCUACCUCUGAAAAUAUUUACAUUUCGAUUCACAACAGUAGCAAAACUACAGUUAUGAAGUAGCAACAAAAAAGUGUUAUGGUUAUUGGACGGGGUGGGGGAAUCACCACAACAGGAGGAGCUGUGUAAAGGGUCAUAGCCUUAGGGAGGUUGAGAACUACUGCUCUAAGUAUAGAACAGAACAGAGCACUGAGAGAUGAGUUUGGGAAAAGAACAAAUGGUCUCCAGACAGGAUAUGGCUGUUAUUGCCUUGAGAUAAGAGUGGUUACAAUUACCUAAGGGAGACCCUUAAGACUGGGCUGACCCUUAAGACUAACAUUCCCGAAUAGAGGAAGGACCUAAGAGAUGUAUAAAGUCCUCUUUCUUAUAUAUGUAAGCCAUUAAUGACUUGUGUGGGAAACUGCCUUUAAGUGGUCUAUAAGUUAGUUGUCUGUGGCUCUGGGGUAAGCGCUCACCUAUGCUUCUAUAAAUAACCCCAAUUAAAUCCAUGGGGUCACCAAGCCAGACUUGUGUGGAUUUGUUUCGAUGGUCUGGUGUGUCCUAUCUGAGCUACAGAGAUGUUUAUUUACAUCUUCCCUAGGAAAAUUCAAUAAUAAGAAAUAGAUGUGGGGUGAAAUCUAUAUAAGUUAAAUCUGUUGAAAUGUUACGACACUAAGGAAUUUAUAAAUCACAUGGCAGAAAAUUUAAAGGCAGUGAUAUCCUAUCAACGAGAAUGUGACAUCCGGUGAUCCUCCAGGGAGGCAGAAGUCCCUGAGUCUCCCUGUCUGCCUUCCCCCUUCCAUGUUCUGCCCAGAUGCUAAGUUUCUUCUUUUCGCCUAGAUGAUUACCUCACCUUUAAAAUAUGGCCACUGUACCUCUGGUUCAGCAGCCACGUGCUAGACAAAACAGGAGCAAAAUAAGGAAAACAGACUGGUCCAGAAAUCCACAGCAGAUUUUCACAAGGUCAGUCUCAGCUCCCGAUGAGAGAGGUUGCAAAAAAAAAAAAAGAAGAAGAAGAAGAAGAAGAAGAAGAAGAAGAAGAAGAAGAAGAAGAAGAAGAAGAAGAAGAAGAAAGAAGAAAGAAGAAAGAAAGAAGCAAAAAAAUAAAAUAUAAGAUGUUUUACUACCCUGAAUAAGAUCACUUGGGAUUUGCUUGUUCAUUAAGACAAGGGCUCACUGUACAAGUCAGAAGGACCUUCAACUCACUGUGUAGCCCAGGCUAAUUCCCACCUUAUGAUGCCCCUACCUUAUAAAUGUUAGGAUCACAGCCAUGUGCUACACACCUGGUUUAAAAUCUGUCGCUUAAAUUUCUCUUCAUAUGUUUGUCUGUGUGCUGGGCAUACGUGUUCAUUCACACGCUGGGGGGUACAUGUGUGUACAGGUACACAGGUGCACAAGCCUGUGGAAAACUGAGAUGUAUACUGAGGGUCUCUCUUAAAUGUGGCGCUUAGCCAGUCAGCUUGCUCUGGGGAUGCCUGUCUCUACCUCUGCUUGCUGGGGUCACAGAUGGACACCAGGCCUACUCAGCUUUUCUGGGGGCUCUGAAACUAUGAACCCUGUUUCUUAUACUUGUUCCACAAAUGCUUUGCUGCCCCCUCGAUUCAGUGAUUUUUAAAGAAGGACGUAAACAUAAAUACUGGGUAGUGACUAGCAAUAUUUGAUACAAAGGGACGGCUUUGGUGUAAUCCAACACUCUAAGUUUUAAUCAUUCAGCUUCUAAUAAUUUCAAAUGUUAAUGUAUCCUCCCAAAUGGAGAUCUCGGGGAAGAUGUUGUUUGGGGGAAGGGAUGGAAUGUCUGCAGUCUGAGUGUAAUAAUGGAUUCAGUGCGUUAGUGACUAGGAAGUAAGAUGCAGAUGAGACAGAGAACUGAGUGGAGAGGGAAACUGGAUUGUUGUUCCCAAUAACUCAUUUCCUUCCUCCGUAAAAAUUGCACUCUCUCACUCUUCCAUUCUGCAAGCCAAGUUUACUUACUGGCUGUAUUGAAGUUGGGUUUGGUGACAGGGAUUUUUUUGGACAACAGUUUGAAAGCAGAAGUGUCAUGUGCCAGAUCCAGGCCACAGCCUGUUCCUGCUUGUCAUCUGAAAGCCGUCGCUCCACCAUGGCAGAAACAACCUCAGUUCUGUUAUGAAGUCACAUGAAAUAAAACCAGAUUGGAUGCCUAGUCCCGCAGAGGGAGGGCUGGAUGCCCGUGGUUGAAGCCAUUGGACUUUGCUCAUAAUGCUAUUUGAGGGAUAUUCCAUUGGCUCUGGUAGUCAUCCUCUGAAGCAUAGGGAAGUGACGUCACUCCCACUAGGGAGCUAUGAUCAUCAAUGCAUGUGGCAGAAGUGGUUAUGAGGAUUCAGGGACACUUGUGCAUUCACACAUUGCUUUUUGAGAUGUGAUGUGGUAGCUUGAGUAAACUGUCUUUCAUGAGAACCUUAGGAGUACACUUUCCACAGGACUCAUCCUUAGGGACCUCAGAGUCAGCCCAAGACAACCCCAAAUCAAGUUCUUAGCACAAAGGAGAUUUAUUUGUCCCAGAGGAAUAGAGAGCAGGGAAUAAGAGACAAAGGUAGGAGAUAGAGG